ensembl:rRNA 5S_rRNA 5S ribosomal RNA
GUCUACGGCCAUACCACCCUGAACGCGCCCGAUCUCAUCUGAUCUCGGAAGCUAAGCAGGGUCGGGCCUGGUUAGUACUUGGAAGGGAGACCCUAGGACAUCACUCAAUCUGUACCCC